rnacentral:rRNA from 1 species
CCUACGGGUGGCUGCAGUGGGGAAUAUUGGACAAUGGGCGAAAGCCUGAUCCAGCCAUGCCGCGUGUGUGAAGAAGGCCUUCGGGUUGUAAAGCACUUUCAGUGGGGAAGAAAGCCUUGGGGCUAAUACCCUCGAGGAAGGACAUCACCCACAGAAGAAGCACCGGCUGAACUCCAUGCCAGCAGCCGCGGUAAUACGGAGGGUGCGAGCGUUAAUCGGAAUUACUGGGCGUAAAGCGCGCGUAGGCGGUCUGAUAAGCCGGUUGUGAAAGCCCCGGGCUCAACCUGGGAACGGCAUCCGGAACUGUCAGGCUAGAGUGCAGGAGAGGAAGGUAGAAUUCCCGGUGUAGCGGUGAAAUGCGUAGAGAUCGGGAGGAAUACCAGUGGCGAAGGCGGCCUUCUGGACUGACACUGACGCUGAGGUGCGAAAGCGUGGGUAGCAAACAGGAUUAGAUACCCGAGUAGUC